rnacentral:sRNA from 1 species
CUGUCUCUGGGAUGUUCGCCAGCCGGUCUGAUUCCCCUGAGCCGAUAUCAUCUCUUUAGGAUGGUGUUCUGCAUAUUUAGAGCGUAUGCCUACCCCGAGUAGGAAACCCAGCAAGUAUGCGUCACCUCCACCUUGA